rnacentral:misc_RNA from 1 species
GUGUAUUUAGCAAUAAGAAAUGUAAUUAAAAAACAACUGGCAUGCAAUUUUCAGAGGUUCAUUUGGUCAGUCUCAUUGAUGUAUAUGGCAGAAAGGUUUAGCAUUGAUAUGACAAGUGCCAAUAGAUAUCUAGUACCAAGCGGCAUGCCAAGCAUGGUAUAUUCUAUAUUGACACCCUCUGCACCGAUAUUUCUGUACUUGCAGCAAAUUCACAUCAUGCAAACUCAUGUAGCGGCGGCACAUUCACUGAACAAGGCCAUGGACCCAAUUUUUUCAUUUGCAGAACUUCCAUUUUUGAACAAAAAUUGCAGAACUUCCAUUAUUGGGUCUCCUUAAGAGCAUCUCUAAUAGACGCUCAACACCAGUCCCCAUAUUUUCCUCCCUUUAAAACCACCCUUCUCGCUUUCCACUAAUGGAGAGGCUAAAUGGCUCUCUAAAUUCCAAAUAUGGUAGUUCUCUUAUAAUUUUUUCACACAAAAAAAUAUUCAUGGGAUGGCUCUUUAAAUAGAUAUAUAGGUAGUGAAGUUUAGAAAUAUUUUUGGAAUAGUUAUAAGGCCUAUGCUUUCAGUUACUUCUAACCUGGAUUUGUGAUAAUCAAAUUUAAUUAGAAUAACACCUACAGAAACAAAAGUCCAUCAGAAAGCUAUGAAGUUCAUCAUUGCUAUAACUUCGAUUCUGAACACCAUAUUCC